rnacentral:rRNA from 1 species
UACGUGAAACCGUCCAGGGGUAAACGGGAGACAUCCUGAAUUCGAAAAGGGGUCCGGAUUCAAGUCUAUCCGAUUCGCAGGCACCAUCCCCUCUGAUGGCGCUGGGUGCCCGCGGCGAGAUGUUCGCUAGCGGUGUCAUUUGCAGCARACACUUAGGUGGUUGGAAAUGUUAUCUGCCGACGGAAGGGUGCACUUCUCCCCUUAGUAGAAACGUCGCGACUCGUUGGGUGCUGGUCUCAAGGCCCGGGAUGGCAGACCAUGUGUCCUGUGGGGGUGCCCACAGGCGUGUGGACUCCUGGUGACCCGGCUGGCUGCCCGACGGUAGGUCUAAUGGAGAUGAUCCGCUGAAUGUGAAACACUUGGGAUGUGUAGCGUCCGGCAUUGGAAACCGAUGUGCGCGGGGAGUGAAUACUGGGGGUGCCUUUCAGGCAUAGGAACCCUGGCCCUGCGAGUCUUCGAAUCCUUUGACUUGGACGGAUCGUUCUCCAGUCUGCGACGCCCACCUUCGGAUUG